CCUACGGGAGGCAGCAGUGGGGAAUAUUGGACAAUGGGGGCAACCCUGAUCCAGCCAUGCCGCGUGUGUGAAGAAGGCCCUCGGGUUGUAAAGCACUUUCAGUGAGGAAGAACGCCUGGUGGUUAAUACCCAUCAGGAAAGACAUCACUCACAGAAGAAGCACCGGCUAACUCCGUGCCAGCAGCCGCGGUAAUACGGAGGGUGCGAGCGUUAAUCGGAAUUACUGGGCGUAAAGCGCGCGUAGGUUGCUUGAUAAGCCGGUUGUGAAAGCCCCGGGCUCAACCUGGGAACGGCAUCCGGAACUGUCAAGCUAGAGUGCAGGAGAGGAAGGUAGAAUUCCCGGUGUAGCGGUGAAAUGCGUAGAGAUCGGGAGGAAUACCAGUGGCGAAGGCGGCCUUCUGGACUGACACUGACACUGAGGUGCGAAAGCGUGGGUAGCAAACAGGAUUAGAUACCCUUGUAGUC
rnacentral:rRNA from 1 species